rnacentral:rRNA from 1 species
GACAGAGGGGGCAAGCGUUGCUCGGAAUUACUGGGCGUAAAGGGCGCGUAGGCGGGAUGGCAAGUCGGUCGUGAAAUCCCUCGGCUCAACUGAGGAUCGUCGAUCGAUACUGCCGUUCUUGAGGAUUGCAGAGGAGACUGGAAUUCCCGGUGUAGCGGUGAAAUGUGUAGAGAUCGGGAGGAACACCGGUGGCGAAGGCGGGUCUCUGGGCAAUUCCUGACGCUGAGGCGCGAAAGCGUGGGGAGCAAACUGG